rnacentral:tRNA from 2 species
GCUGACGUAGCUCAACGGUAGAGCGUCACCAUAGUCUCCGUUUCGACGUGAAGAAGGCGGUUCGAUUCCGUCCAUCAGCA